AAACGACUCUCGGCAACGGAUAUCUCGGCUCUCGCAUCGAUGAAGAACGUAGCGAAAUGCGAUACUUGGUGUGAAUUGCAGAAUCCCGUGAACCAUCGAGUCUUUGAACGCAAGUUGCCCCCCAAGCCGUCAGGCCGAGGGCACGUCUGCCUGG
rnacentral:rRNA from 1 species